rnacentral:lncRNA from 10 species
CUCCACCUGCCACGUUCUCACCCCUUCUUCUUCCACUGCAAACUCCUAUGCAGCCGUCAAGGCCCCAUUCUCCUCUGGAAAGCCUUCCCGAUCCCCUUGGCAACAACCACCACCAAUAUUUAUUCACUGAGCCCACUUUGUGCCAAGCAUUGUUCUAGACACGGGGACCACCCUUUGCACUCAGUAGGCCUUUGUUUUCCUGCGUGGAAAGCGGUUGGGCUUGGGAGGCGAUGGAGCCGGAGUUCUUGUACGACCUGCUGCAGCUCCCCAAGGGGGUGGAGCCCCCAGCGGAGGAGGAGCUCUCAAAAG